rnacentral:rRNA from 1 species
AUGGGGGGUGACCCGAUACACCUGAUAGCGGAUUUGAUGAACGAAGAUGGUGAAUGGAAUGAGGAAAUAAUCAGAAGGAAUUUCAUUGCCCCGGAUGCGAGCGCUAUACUCAACAUGCCAAGAACACGGAUGGCUAUCUUUGAUUUUUGGACAUGGGGCCAUGAAAGAUCUGGGAUUUUCACGGUCCGAUCUGCAUAUCGUAUGCUUAUGGAAGAACAACAAGCAAAGCUGAUUCAAGUUGGGAAUUCAUCCCAAGGUGAGGAAAUCUGGAAGUCGUUAUGGCGGAUUCAGGUACAACCAAAAAUAAGGAUUUUUUGGUGGCGAGUCCUCAAAGGAUUUCUGCCGGCAAAGGAGGAGCUGUGUAGGAGGCAUAUAGGGGAGGAUUCCACCUGCCCAAUGUGUGGUCACCAAGAGGAGUCACUUCAUCACUCUCUGGUGAUGUGCGAUCAUGCAAAACUGUUCUGGAGGGAAGCUGAGAAUUUUUUCGACUUCAAACUACCCCGGCUACACCCUGUUACUUGGUCACGGGAUUUGCUAGACCCGGGGUUUGUCAGUAAGGCUAGAGCGGCCAUCAUUAUCUCAGUUAUGUGGGCAAUAUGGUCGAGCAGGAACAAGUACACCCAUGAGGAGGUUAAGUACCAGCCUGGUCGGUCGGUGGUUCUAGUGCAAGAACUUAUUCAUGCUUUGUAUAUUCCGGCCACUCCGUCUGAAGUUCAGCAGAGGAACAAUGUGGACUGGAUACCACCAGAGACCGGCUGUGUAAAGAUUAACACAGAUGCUGCGGUUGAUGUGAAUGGGGGAACUUCAGCCAUUGGACUUGUGGCAAGAGAUCAGGGCGGACUCGUGCUCGCCAGAAGUCCUAUGGAGAAGGGCUGGACGCGGGUUGCCAUCGAAACGGAUUGCCAAACUGUCACGGAGGAAUGGAUGGCGACGAAGUGCCGGUCGAUGCGGAGCCCAGUAAUCAGCGAAAUCAAAUCAUAUCUCCAAAACUUUCAGGGGUUGUGCAUCAGCUACGUGAGAAGAGAGGCCAACAAGGCUGCUCAUUGGUGUGCUCAGGAGGGCCUCAAGAGUGCCUCGGAUGUUAUUCUUUUUGAUGUAUUCCUUGAUUCUCUGAUUGCCUUAGCGCAAUCUGAUAAAUAUGUUUGUGAAAUAAGUAGCGUCGAUCGGCUAGACCUAACGGCAACUCCUAUUCAGCGCUUAAGCGCCCGUUACAUUCAUUCCUGCAAACGGGUGCCUAGAGGCGCACACCCCCACUAA